AGAACACACUCUUCAGUGUCCUCUAGGAUAACCCAGGGAUCUCCUUAGGCUGAAGACUGUGAAUUAGAAGAUCAAAGAGGAAAAAGCCAGUCAUAGAGUGGGGACUCUGUCACAAAAAUGGAGCUUCCAGCAUGGCCAACAGUACCCCAGGGCUCACAUGCAGGAGAAGAGGUGAGGAAAAUUGUGUAUGGGGCUCAUGCCUUUAAUCCCAGUGCUUGGGAGACCGAGGCAGGAAGAUCACUAGAAGUGUGAAGCCAACC